rnacentral:rRNA from 1 species
UACGAAGGGGGGCAAGCGUUGUUCGGAAUUACUGGGCGUAAAGGGCGCGUAGGCGGCUUAUCAAGUCAGGCGUGAAAUUCCCGGGCUCAACCUGGGGGCUGCGCUUGAUACUGAUUGGCUUGAAUGCGGGAGAGGAUAGUGGAAUUCCCAGUGUAGAGGUGAAAUUCGUAGAUAUUGGGAAGAACACCGGUGGCGAAGGCGGCUAUCUGGCCCGUAAUUGACGCUGAGGCGCGAAAGCGUGGGGAGCAAACAGGG